AAAAGCUCAAAUUUAAAAUCNGGCGGUCUUUGGCCGUCCGAGUUGUAAUCUAGAGAAGUGCUAUCCGCGCUGGACCGUGUACAAGUCUCCUGGAAUGGAGCGUCAUAGAGGGUGAGAAUCCCGUCUUUGACACGGACUACCAGGGCUUUGUGAUGUGCUCUCAAAGAGUCGAGUUGUUUGGGAAUGCAGCUCAAAAUGGGUGGUAAAUUCCAUCUAAAGCUAAAUAUUGGCGAGAGACCGAUAGCGAACAAGUACCGUGAGGGAAAGAUGAAAAGAACUUUGGAAAGAGAGUUAAACAGUACGUGAAAUUGCUGAAAGGGAAACGCUUGAAGUCAGUCGCGUUGGCCAGGGAUCAACCUUGCUUUUGCUGGGUGUACUUUCUGGUUGACGGGUCAGCAUCAAUUUUGAUCGUUGGAUAAAGUCUGUGGGAAUGUGGCUUCUUCGGAAGUGUUAUAGCCCAUGGUCGCAUACAACGGUUGGGAUUGAGGAACUCAGCACGCCGCAAGGCCGGG
rnacentral:rRNA from 1 species